AUUGAACGCUGGCGGCAGGCCUAACACAUGCAAGUCGAACGAGUGGCGGACGGGUGAGUAAUGUCUGGGAAACUGCCUGAUGGAGGGGGAUAACUACUGGAAACGGUAGCUAAUACCGCAUACCAUCAGAUGUGCCCAGAUGGGAUUAGCUUGUUGGUGGGGUAACGGCUCACCAAGGCGACGAUCCCUAGCUGGUCUGAGAGGAUGACGAGCCACACUGGAACUGAGACACGGUCCAGACUCCUACGGUAGGCAGAAGUGGGGAAGAUUGCACAAUGGGCGAAAGCCUGAUGAAGCCAUGCCGCGUGUGUGAAGAAGGCCUUCGGGUUGUAAAGUACUUUCAGCGGGGAGGAGUUACCCGCAGAAGAAGCACAGGCUAACUCCGUGCCAGCCGCUGCGGUAAUAC
rnacentral:rRNA from 1 species